UUUGUUUGGUCAUUAGAAUAU
ensembl:piRNA 21ur-5826 ncRNA